rnacentral:rRNA from 1 species
GACGAACGCUGGCGGCGUGCUUAACACAUGCAAGUCGAACGGUGAACCUCUUCGGAGGGGAUCAGUGGCGAACGGGUGAGUAACACGUGGGCAACCUGCCCCCGGCUCUGGGAUAACUCCAAGAAAUUGGGGCUAAUACCGGAUGUUCACCGCUUCCCGCAUGGGUGGUGGUGGAAAGGGUUUCCGGCUGGGGAUGGGCCCGCGGCCUAUCAGCUUGUUGGUGGGGUAGUGGCCUACCAAGGCGACGACGGGUAGCCGGCCUGAGAGGGUGACCGGCCACACUGGGACUGAGACACGGCCCAGACUCCUACGGGAGGCAGCAGUGGGGAAUAUUGCGCAAUGGGCGGAAGCCUGACGCAGCGACGCCGCGUGGGGGAUGACGGCCUUCGGGUUGUAAACCUCUUUCAGCAGGGACGAAGCGCAAGUGACGGUACCCGCAGAAGAAGCACCGGCUAACUACGUG